GAUGAACGCUGGCGGCGUGCCUAAUACAUGCAAGUCGAGCGAGUGGAUUAAGAGCUUGCUCUUAUGAAGUUAGCGGCGGACGGGUAAGUAACACGUGGGUAACCUGCCCAUAAGACUGGGAUAACUCCGGGAAACCGGGGCUAAUACCGGAUAACAUUUUGAACCGCAUGGUUCGAAAUUGAAAGGCGGCUUCGGCUGUCACUUAUGGAUGGACCCGCGUCGCAUUAGCUAGUUGGUGAGGUAACGGCUCACCAAGGCAACGAUGCGUAGCCGAGCUGGGAGGGAGAUCGGCCACAGUGGGACUGAGACACGGCCCAGACGCCUACGGGAGGCAGCAGUAGGGAAUCUUCCGCAAUGGACGAAAGUCUGACGGAGCAACGCCGCGUGAGUGAUGAAGGCUUUCGGGUCGUAAAACUCUGUUGUUAGGGAAGAACAAGUGCUAGUUGAAUAAGCUGGCACCUUGACGGUACCUAACCAGAAAGCCACGGCUAACUACGUGCCAGCCGCCGCCGUAA
rnacentral:rRNA from 1 species